rnacentral:rRNA from 1 species
GAUGAACGCUGGCGGCGUGCCUAAUACAUGCAAGUCGAACGAAGCACUGUAUUUGAUUCUCUUCUGGCCUUAUUAUUUUGUGACUGAGUGGCGGACGGGUGAGUAACGCAUGGGUAACCUGUAUUUUCCAGGGGGCUGACCUUUGGACACGGCUGCUAUUACCCCGUAAGCUCCCGGCAUCGCAUGAUGCAUUGCGAAAAAGUCUGGUGGUAUAAGAUGGACCCUCGUUGGAUUAGCAAGUUGGUGAGGUAACGGCCCACCAAGGCGACGUUCCAUAGCCGAGCACAGAGGGUGACCGGCGACACUGGGACUGGGACACGGACCAAACUCCUACGGGAGGCAGCAGAGGGGAAUAUUGCACAAUGGGCGAAAGGCUGAUGCAGCGACGCCGCGAGAGCGAAGAAGUAUUUCGGUAUGUAAAGCUCUAUCAGCAGGGAAGAUAAUGACGGUACCUGACUAAGAAGCACCGGCUAAAUACGUG